rfam:Gossypium raimondii Chr11_contig_166, whole genome shotgun sequence.
AUACUUACCUGGACAGGGUCAAUGAGUGAUCAUGAAGACUCAUGGCCUAGAGUAGUGACCACCAUUGCACUUGGGAGGGGUGCUGCUUUAAGGUCUCCCCAGGAGGGAGAGCCUAUGUCAUAAUUUGUGGCAGUAGGGCUUGCGUGCGCGCAGCCUCUAC